UGGUUAAAAAGCUCGUAGUUGGAUCUCAACAGCCUUGGAAGCGGUUAACUUUGUAGUUUUACUGCUUUAUAGGCUGUGCUUUUGCUGGAGGUUUAGGGGUGCUCUUGAUCGAGUGUCUCUGGAUGCCAGCAGGUUUACUUUGAAAAAAUUAGAGUGCUCAAAGCAGGCUAAAAUGCCUGAAUAUUCGUGCAUGGAAUAAUAGAAUAGGAUGUCGAUCCUAUUUUGUUGGUUUUCGGGACUCGACAUAAUGAUAAAUAGGGACAGUCGGGGGCAUUUGUAUUCAAACGACAGAGGUGAAAUUCUUGGACCGUUUGAAGACAAACUACUGCGAAAGCAUUUGCCAAGAAUGUUUUCAUUAAUCAAGAACGAAAGUUAGAGGUUCGAAGGCGAUUAGAUACCGCCCUAGUUCUAACCAUAAACGAUGCCAGCUAGCGAUCUGCCUGCGUUUUUACUGUAGACUGGGCAGGAAGCUUCCGGGAAACCAAAGCAUU
rnacentral:rRNA from 1 species